rnacentral:rRNA from 1 species
UACGAAGGGGGCGAGCGUUGUUCGGAUUUACUGGGCGUAAAGGGCGCGUAGGCUGUUUUACAAGUAUGGGGUGAAAUCCCGAGGCUCAACCUCGGAACUGCCUUAUAAACUGUAGAACUAGAGGACGAGAGAGGUAAGUGGAAUUCUCAGUGUAGAGGUGAAAUUCGUAGAUAUUGAGAAGAACACCAGUGGCGAAGGCGGCUUACUGGCUCGUUUCUGACGCUGAGGCGCGAAAGCGUGGGGAGCAAACAGG